rnacentral:rRNA from 1 species
UACGUAGGGGGCAAGCGUUGUCCGGAUUUAUUGGGCGUAAAGAGCGUGUAGGCGGCCAAGCAGGUCAGCUGUGAAAACUCGAGGCUCAACCUCGAGACGUCGGUUGAAACCGCUUGGCUAGAGUCCGGAAGAGGAGAGUGGAAUUCCCGGUGUAGCGGUGAAAUGCGCAGAUAUCAGGAGGAACACCAAUGGCGAAGGCAGCUCGCUGGGACGUGACUGACGCUGAGACGCGAAAGCGUGGGGAGCAAACAGG